UUUUCGCAGACAUUAGGAAGAAGUUAAAAACUUCUUACCUAAGGAACCAGCAGCACUAUAAUUUGAGGAAACGAGAUCUGCGAUUCUUUGUUGGUGAUCGAGUCUUAAAGCGCAAUUUUGUCAAAUCCAAUAAGGGUGAUGCCAUUUCUGCAAAGUUUUGCCAGAAAUAUGUCCCAUGUACUGUCUCAAGGGUAAUAUCUCCUUUGAUUUAUGAAUUAAAGGACAAUUCGACUAAUAAGCGAAUUGGUCAAUUUCAUGUAAAGGAUUUACUGCCUGACAACACCAUGGACGAUGUGGAUUCUUCAACUUCAUCGGAAGAAGAUUAGCUUAACAGGGUUGUUUAAGCUAAUAUCUUCCUGUGUUUGCCUUUAAUUAGUUUUAUUAUGGUAUAGUAUUUUAGUUUAAAUUGUUAAUCACCAGAUAAUGCCUGACCAUAGCAAUUUUUAUCCUUCGGCAUGGCUUGAUGAUUUCUCACGUAUUAGUUAUUAGGUACCGAAUUCUUGUGUAAUACCGCUUGUAUGAGUUUAUUAUUAUUUUUUUGUAUUAUAGAUUGCAUUUGAGUCAUUAUCGACAAAUAUUCUCAAAUACUAAUCCAGCCAGUAGUAUUACCAAGUUAAUAACCUCCACUUGUACUCUUAGUUUUGUACUCAACCUCUCAGAAUAAAAGGGCUGUUGAUUAUUAUAUAUUAAGAUAUUUGGAUGUGUGGGCUCAUACAAGUAUUCUUGCUUAAUAUAGAUGGAGCUAUGUUACACUACCAUAUCUUAGAUUAUGUGUUAUAUCUUGGAUAUUUGAUUACAUACCUAUUAUUUUUUUUUAUUGUUUUUAUAUCAUGUCAUUGGAUUUGCCAUAUUGGAAAGAAGUUGUGGUUGUUAAUUUGUUAUUGGGUUACUUUAUUGAUAUUUGUCACAGGUACCUUAAAUACUUUAUAUUAAUUCGGAUUCUUACUUCCUCCACAGGAUGAUUCUGGAAUGAAUUUGGAAUUUUGAUUUAUAAAUGAAUUCUUGAGUCCUUCAUAUUUCUUCUUAUGAACUAGUCUGUUAAUGCUCAAAGUUGGUGAAUACGUGGGUUCGAAGUUCAGCAACUGAUCACUGCUAUCCGAUUUCGUAAUCCAUGUCUUUCUUGUCAGAGUAGGCAGAUGUUUAUCCAUGAUAAUAUUUCUGGUUGGGAAAUGGUGUACAACACUUCCUAACCAUUCUUGUGCAAUUGUUCCAAAUAUUCCAGGCACAUUUUCACACGAUAAUAGGGAAGUCUAGUUUGCUUAUUUUAUGUCUCUUAGUUCAUAGUAUAUAGAUGCUUGACUUUCCAUAGACGUAGAGUCGUAAUGUUAGUGAUUAACCCACUGGGACAAAUUAUUGAUUUUCUUUUUAGUAGAUUCCCUCUUCUUUCCUUAGGCAUUAAUUGUUGCUUAGAUUCAGGAAUAUCUCCUGGAUAAUCCUAUGUAUGUUCACAUGAAUAUACAGUCUUAUGAAAGAUUGGGAGCUCGUUCCCGUCAUAUUUUGUAUUUACCAUGGAGUCAUAGAACUUAUAAGUUCAUCCUUUAUUUUUACUAUUUAGUUUCGAUAGGCUCAUAUUACCGGAUGAGGGUAGAUCUAGAGCUAAUUUAGUUAGUUAUUUAGUAUUAGUGAGAAUUGGUCCAUAAAUCUUCCUGAUCGUUCUUCUUUGGAUAUGCUCCUAUAAAUCUGGUGUCCAUUGCUAGUCCGAUUUUGGAUUAAGUGUCCGAUUCUUCACUUAUUUUGUUUAUUUGGUUGUAUAGGUUCGUAUUACCGGAUGUGGGUGUACGUAGACCUAAUUUAUUUAUAUGAUUUAGUAUGGAUGUGAAUUGGUCCAUAAAUCUUCCUGGUCGUUCUUCAUUGGAUAUGCUUUUGUGAAUCUGUUGUCCAUUGAUAGUCUGACUUUGGAUUGAGUGUCUGAUUCCACAUUUAUUUUGGUUAAUGUGUUUGCAUUCCUUUGGUAUGUUCACUAUUUAUAUUAGUUGGUAUUGGUGAAAAUUAUUCUAUAAAUAUUCCUAGUUGUUCUUCUCUGGAUAUGCUAUUACGAAUCUGGUGUCCAUUGCUAGUCCAAUUUAGGAUUGAGUGUUUGAUUCUUCACUUAUUAUAGUUAUUGAUUUCAUUGGUGACUUUAGUAUAUGUACUUGCGUUAUGGUAUGAAUUGGCUCUCACCUUUGCCUGGUUGUUCGUCCUUGGAUAUACUCCUUAUAAAUCUGAUGUCCAUGGAUAGUUCAACUUUGGAUUUACUGCCAAUUCGACACUUAUUUGUCAUUAUAAAUUAUGUCUCAUCUUUAGCACUUUUACUAGGACUUCGGGUCAUAUUUUGCAAUUUCCGUUAUUUGCUGCAGUGACCAUCCUACUUUCCCUUGAUUAUUAGUGGUGAUUAUUUGUAAUCUUGCGAAUCAACGGGGAAUGAUACACUAAGCACUACUACUCUAGUUUAAUAUUUUGAAAAAAAAAAAAAAAAAUUUUUUUUAAAUAAAAUUUUUUUUUCUGGUGGUUGAAAGGGAAUGUGACGUUCCGCCCCUUAUAGAAUCGAUUAUUGAUGGGAAGAUAUUAUUUAACUAUCCAAAAUAUUAUUUAAUUAUUUUCAGAAUUAUUUUCUUUCAAUGUUUAUUCAAAUAGAACUUAAACCCAUCUCAGAAUUUUUAAAUGCUUGAUGACGUCACAUUUAAAACGUGGCAACAUUGGUUUCCCCACUUUGACAGCCAAUGCUUAGUAGAGGGGUACGAAGGAUUCAGCUGUGAACGUGAGCCUUGGAUUGCGAUUGUUUCUCGAGUGUUCGGUCUGAAUCGUAGUGUGCGGGGUCAUUAGACUCAAUUAUUCACCUCUAAUUCUCAGUUCCAAAUUGAUUAAAUAUUACAAUAAAAGUAUAGUGAAGUUAUCCAGCAGCAGUGGAUUUGAAGAAUUUUAGAGCAUACUAUAUCCAAUGAGUUCUACCCCGCACCUACCAUGAAAUCUUAAAGCCACCCUACAACAACACCAAGGCCAGACCACACAGAGAGAAACAAUCAAUAGGCGACCAGCCUGGAUUAUUUCCACAUUUUCUUUUUUUGAGUACCUCCAGCUGCUUUCCAACAGUUUUGAGUACCUUCAGCUGCUUUCUACCAGUCUUCCUCUCCUGUACCUCCAGCAGGACAGCUGCUAGCGAGAGUUAGCACCCUUGGGUGCUCAUUACAUCAACUUCAAGAUUAGGAAAGAGUGGUUUGUUUGGGAACAUUUACUGUGCUCUUAUUAAAGACAGACUGGUUUUGUGAUAUUUAGUACAUUUUUUUUUAUAGUUCAAUUGCACACACAUUUUUCCUGCUUUAUAUUUUUUAUAGGUUUUUUUUUCUUUACAACAUAAUAUUUAAUUGAUAGCGUUCCCCAACACUCUGCAAUCUAUAAAGGUAUAAAUUUCUGAGCUCAGAUAUUUUCCCUGAUAAUAGUAGUCGGUACUCUUAUCUUGAUUAUUUUUAGGCUGUGUUCCACUUUUGUAUAAUUAUUUAAACUCAUUCCAUUAUUUUAGUAUAUGUUUAAUUAAAUUUUUAAAAAUUAACUUCACAUAUUAGUCAAAAUUGUAAUUAUUAACUUUAUUUAACUUGAACUUAUUAACUUUACUUAACUUUAACUUAUUAACUUUAUUUAACUUUAACUUUAAUUUAUUAAAUUCAUAUGAACUUCUGGAUUCUAAUCCCUCAGAUUAGUUUUUGGUUUCACUUGUUAUUAUUACUAUUAUAAACCACGAGUUAGGAAAAGGAUCUGUGUAUCCACUCGUAGGUUUAUUUAUUCAAUAAGGCUUGUGCCUGUCCCACUCACAGUGAGGUAUUUAUAUGUUAUAUAUAGUAUCAGGUAGUAUUUAAUUAAGGUGUACGUAUUAUAAACGUACAAUUAUUAUUUGGUGAGGGUUCUACUAACCUAGUUGUAAGUUGUACUUCCUGUAUUAGAGGUACCCGUAGUCAGUUUUUCUAACCUUAUAAAGAGUAUUCUUAGAUCAUAGUUGUAUGAUGAUUUUGUAAUUGACUUUCACUAGUAUCACUUUUUCCUGUCAUGUUAGAGUUACACACUAGUUACUUGUCCUAACUCAGAGAUUGUUAAAAAGAUCUAGUAGUUACAUUCAAUAAAUAUACAUUUAUUGUGA
rnacentral:lncRNA from 1 species